rnacentral:tRNA from 1 species
GCUUCCUUAGCUCAGUCGGUAGAGCGCCAGUCUCAUAUUUGUACGAUGAGGGACUGCUGUCUCAUAAUCUGGAGGUCGCAAGUUCGAGCCUUGCAGGGAGCA